rnacentral:misc_RNA from 1 species
GAUGAAGAACGCAGCGAAAUGCGAUAAGUAAUGUGAAUUGCAGAAUUCAGUGAAUCAUCGAAUCUUUGAACGCACAUUGCGCCCGCCAGUAUUCUGGCGGGCAUGCCUGUUCGAGCGUCAUUUCAACCAUCAAGCCCCCGGCUUGUGUUGGGGACCUGCGGCUGCCGCAGGCCCUGAAAAGCAGUGGCGGGCUCGCUGUCACACCGAGCGUAGUAGCAUACAUCUCGCUCUGGGCGUGCUGCGGGUUCCGGCCGUUAAACCCCCUUCAUAACCCAAGGUUGACCUCGGAUCAGGUAGGAAGACCCGCUGAACUUAAGCAUAUCAUAGCGGAGGA